CCACCUAGCAACCGCACCAGGAGCCAUGUUGGAAGACCAUUCAGUCUGUUGGAAGUCCUCCAAUAGUCCAAAUGGCUGGCUGUGUUCCGCUAUCACUGGAAACUUCGGGAAGAUUGCCCAUUAUUUUGUUUUUCUAAGGACCCAGAAAACGGAGGCAUUGAGCGAACCUAUUCAAAUAUAGAGAGCCGUGAAACCCUGUCUGCAGAUGAAGAGGUCCCAAUGAAUGUCCCAAGAGAAUAAAGGGGCCUCCCGAGUGGCGUAGUGGUCCAAGGCACUGCAUCGCAGUGCUAGAGGCGUCACUACAGACCCAGGUUUGAUCCCAGGUUGUGUCGCCGCGACCGAAAGACCAAUGAGGUGGCGCACAUGCACAAUUGGCCCAGUGUCUAGCAACUCCCUGUGCCAGGCCAGUAUGGUGUUUCCUCCGACACAUCGGUGCGGCUGGCUUCUGGUUUAAGCAAACAGUGUGUCAAGAACAUGUGCAGCAUGGCAGGGUUGUGUUUCGAAGGAUGCUUUCAACCUUCACCUCUCACGAGUCCGUACGGGAGUUGCAGCGACGGGACAAGACUGUAACUACCAAUUGGAUAUCACUAAAAAGUACACUUUUUUUUUUACAAAGAAAUAAGUUAUAAUUGUUAACUUAAAACUAUAUUAUUCAAGAUGAACUAGUGUCAAUGUUGAUUAACCACAGCUCACAAUCCUGCAAUAAAGAGGGUAAGGGAAUUUGUCUCUGUUGUAUUCUCAAAUGAGCACGACCUACGUUUUUGUUCAGUUGUAAGCUGUCCAUUUUUUUUUGUUUGAUUGUCACUCUUUUUUUUCAAGAUACAGCAUCAGCCAUGUGAGCCCAUUUUGCAGCUGAUAAUGGCAUGGAAAGCCAAUGCAGUCAUAGACCUACAGCAGUGGUUCCCAACUCCCGUCCUUGAGUACCCCCAAUAGCACACAUUUUUGUUGCAGCUCUGGACAAACAUACCUGAUUCAUCUGAUUGAGGGCCUGAUGAUUAGUAGAUAAGUUGAUUCAGGUGUGCUUGUCCGGGGCUACAAUAAAACUGUACUGUUGGGGGUACUCAAGGACCGGAGUUGAAAAACACUGGCCUACAGUAUGAUGGCAUUAGCCUUAUGGGCAUUUGCAAUGCACCCCUUGACAUUGUGCAUCUGAACCAGAGAACAUCUUAACUCACACAUUGUUUACAUAUUGUUGAGCUAUAUUCUCAAUUUAAAAACAAUGCCAGUAGACAAUUUAUAUGAGGCUAUUCGUUAUGCUAGAUGUUGUACAUGCCUUGUGCUGACAUUAAAUUGUUUAGUGCAAAUCCAACACUUAUAAUCUUGGUGAUGAAAUAUCUGGAAACAGGAAAUGGGAUCCUUAGCUUAAAACAUCAAUACUACAUAAUGGGAAGGCAAAAGGGAUUUUAAAAAACUUUAGCAAAUUUAUUAAAUUUUUUAAAACUGAAAUAUCAUAUUUACAUAAGUAUUCAGACCCUUUACUCACUACUUUGUUGAAGAACCUUUGGCAGUGAUUACAGCACACCUGUAUUUGGGAAGUUUCUCCCAUUCUCCUCUGCAGAUCCUCUCAAACUCUGUCAGGUUGGAUGGGGAGCGUCAUUGCACAGCUAUUUUCAGGUCUCUCCAGAGAUGUUCGACCGGGUUCAAGUUCGGGAUCUGUCUGGGCCACUCAAGGGUUGUUGUCAUGUUGGAAGGUGAACCUUCUCCCCAGUCUGAGGGCAUGAGUGCUCCACCCUGGAGCAGGUUUUCAUCAAGGAUCUCGCUGUCUUUUGCUCGGUUCAUCGUUCCCUCGAUCCUGACUAGUCUCCCAGUCCCUGCCGUUGAAUGAUGCUGCCACCACCAUGCUUCACUUUAGGGAUGGUGCCAGGUUUCAAAAAGAUGUGACACUUGGCAUUCAGGCCAAAGAGUUCAAUCUUGGUUUCAUCAGACCAGAGAAUCUUGUUCCUCGUGGUCUGAGAGUCUUUAGGGGCCUUUUGGCAAACUUCAAGCGGGUUGUCAUGUGCCUUUUACUGAGGAGUGGCUUCCGUCUGGCCACUCUACCAUAGUGAUUGGUGGAGUGCUGCAAAGAUGGUUGUCCUUCUUUAAGGUUCUCCCAUCUCCACAGAGGAACUCUGGAGCUCUGUCAGAGUGACCAUUGGGUUCUUGGUCACCUCCCUGACCAAGGACCUUCUCCCCUGAUUGCCCAGUUUGGCUGGGCGGCCAGCUCUAGGAAGAGUAUUGGUGAUUCCAAACAUCUGCCAUUUAAGAAUGAUGAAGGCCACUGUGCUCUUGGGGGACCUUCACAGGACACAAUCCUGUCUCCGAGCUCUACAGACAAUUCCUUCGACUUAAUGUCUUGGUUUUUGCUGUGACAUGCACUGUCAACUUUGCGACCUUAUAUAGACAGGUGUGUGCAAUUCCAAAUCAUGUCCAAACAUUUGAAUUUAUCACAGAUGGACUCCAAUCAAGUUGUAGAAACAUCUCAAGGAUGAUCAAUGGAAACAGGAUGCACCUGAGCUCAAUUUCGUCUCAUAGUAAAGGGUCUGAAUACUUGUGUAAAUAAUGUAUUUCAGUUUUUUUAAUAUACAUUUGCUACAAGAAUAUAUAUAAUAAUGGAUAAUGGACCUCAUUGUAUAAUUUGUGUCUCCCCUUUUCAUGGUCGUGGCUAUAAGGGAUCCAGCUUUUGUUAAAUUAAAUUCAUUUGACUUUCGUAGCAGAUUAGGAGAAUUUACGCUACCGGCUAGGAGAAUUAACGUAGCAGGUUCGGAGAAUUAGGUUAAGGUAAGGAAGGGGGUUAGGCUUAACUAAAAUGCAAAACAAAUAACUUCACAUUAAUUUAACAAAAGCUGGUUCUUUUUUUUUCAUAGGCCUAGAUUACGUGGUUACAUCAAUUCAAAGUGUAUUUGUCACAUGCGCUGACUACAACAGGUGUAGGUAGACCUUACUGUGAAAUGCUUACUUACAAGCCCUUAACCAACAAUACAGUUCAAGAAAUAGAGUUAAGAAAAUAUUUACUAAAUAAACUAAAGUAAAAGAUUUAAUAAAAAGCAACACAAUAAAAUAACAAUAACGAGGCUAUAUACAGGGGGGUACCAGUACCGAGUAAAUGUGCGGGGGUACAGGUUAGUUGAGGUAAUUUGUACAUCAAAUGUAAUUGUAUUGGUCACAUACACAUGUUUAGCAGAUGUUAUUGCGGAUGUAGUGAAAUGCUUGUACAGGAGGUAAGGAUAAUGUGACUAUGCAUAGAUAAUAAACCGCAAAUUCAAGACAA